ensembl:lncRNA
GAAAGAAAGUGAAAGAAAGAAAGAAAGAGAAAGAAAGAAAGAAAGAGAAAGAAAGAAAGAGAAAGAAAGAAAGAAAGAGAAAGAAAGAAAGAGAAAGGAAGGAAAAAUAAUGGUUAGAAAAAUAUAGAAGAAGGGAGAGACAAAAUGAGAAAAAGUGGAAAAAAAAAUACAGUGAAAAUAACUGAGAACUGAGAAAAUAAAUAAAUAAACACUGCUGGAUCACUGAACCAGAACCAGAACAGAAUAAAACCCGCUGCUGAAUGAAUGCAUUUUCUCACAGUAAACAUAGUAAACACUCUGACUCAGAUAUUUGCAGUCCGUUGUUGACAUGUCCCAAACCACACACACACACACACACACACACACACACACACACCUUCCUCCGCAUAUGAUAUGCAUGCUCAUCAUAAAUAAUGGUGCUAGAAAACUCUAAAGACAUAAAUAAACGAGACAAUAAACGAAAAGAUGAGUGAUUAAAUUCAUCCUCAAGAUGUGAUUCAUCAGAGCUGCGAUUGGAAUCGACUGAGAACAAUCCAGAAAAUUCUAUUACCCUCAGGGAAUAAAAAGGAAUUAUAAACAACAGACAAGUAGUCUGGAAUGAGGAUGAAACUAGAGAGACAGAGAAAGAGAUAAUCACAUAAACACACACACACACACACACACACACACACACACACACACACACACACACACACAACGCCUUUCUAACACUAAUAAGAGGAGAAGUGUAGCUUCAACAUUUCAGUGACCAGCUCGAUUAAGCUUUCCGUUCAUCACUGUCACUAAUACAGAGCGGAAAACUACACACACACACACACACACACACACACACACACACACACACACACACACACACCUCUCGAUGGGAGUUUCAACAGAAUCUAGUCAGAUCUCACACUUUCCUGACUCAGGAGACUUAGUGCAAAGUGUGUGUGUGUGUGUGUGACACACUUUAGACCAAUACCUCUCACACUCUGACCACGGCUAAACCCAAUGAGGCUACAACUCGGGAAUUUAGUGUCAUAUUCAAUCACAGAGUGCCAUUAUCAUUCUGUAACUGAAACACACACACACACACACACACACACACACAUCAUGAGAGAGAAGUUAAGAGGUGGUAGUGCAUUAGUGGUAGGUAACUGAACGCUAAUGGAUUCCUUGUGGGAAGAAUGUGUGGUUGGAGAGAAAACCAUACAGAGCCAUUAGCACCUCUGUGAUAGAACACACACACACACACACACACACACUCACACACAAACACACACACACACACACAUGUUCUAUCUUUGUGGUAUUUGCAGUGACUUACCUUUAACCAUAACAUUAACCUCAAUAACUAUAGAGGGGAAUGUGGGCGUGUCAUAGUAGCUUUGAGUGGGCGUGCACCUAAAGGUUAUAAACUGGAAUGUGGGCGUGUCAUAGUAGCUCUGAGUGGGCGUGCACCUAAAGGUUAUAGAAGGGAAUGUGGGCGUGUCAUAGUAGCUCUGAGUGGGCGUGCACUUAAAGGUUAUAGACUGGGAUGUAGGAGUGUCAUAGUAGCUCUGAGUGGGCGUGCACCUAAAGGUUAUAGACUGGGAUGUAGGAGUGUCAUAGUAGCUCUGAGUGGGCGUGCACCUAAAGGUUAUAGACUGGGAUGUAGGCGUGUCAUAGUAGCUCUGAGUGGGCGUGCACCUAAAUGUUAUAAACUGGAAUGUGGGCAUGUCAUAGUAGCUCUGAGAAGGAAUUAUCUUUCGUACAGGGGAAUAAAGAUAGUCAUCUUAAAACGAACAAAUCUUGUCUAAACUCGAAGCCACGCCCACCUGUAACCCACAAAGCCCACCGCUCUACAUCCUGCUACCUUCCGCUAAUUUCCUGAUUGACGUGUUUAUCAAAGCGAGCCCGUUAAAUCAGGUUUCCCUCGUCCUCGCUUCGCUCUUCUCCUCUGAACCUGAUUGAUUCUUAUUUUACUUAAAUAAAACUAACAACAGAACAGAAACAGAGCUCAUUAAUCACAGGAUAAACCAACAGUAAACUCUCCGGGUAAAUCUGGCAGACAGUGAUCGAACCCGCGCUCGAUCGUUCCUCAAAUAAAGCUGCGGUUUCUCUCUGUUCCCUAAACAGGCGAUAGAGAACCGAUUGGAGCGAUACGGCGGGUCGGUGUUAUUAAGAGCGACGGAUCCGGGGCAAAAAAAUUCACAGGUUUCAACCAUUUAUUUAUAAAAAAUAGAGGAAAUGACAGAAGAAUGCUAACUUUAGAUAGAUGAAGAGGGAUUCUGGAAAGAUUUUGGUCUUGUGCAUGGAGUUUAUUGGUAAAAGGGGAGUAAAUAAUUAUUCAUGCACGACACACGACACAGAUAAUCAGUAUAAAUGUAAACAGUGAAGACUGAUGAGCAUAUUGUCGGUGGGAGUGAUUGGGUUCUGAGUCGUUUGUCUUAAUUCGGUUCCGUUCAGGAUGAUCUAUAUAUCCGUUUGUCUGUCUACACCGGGUUCCUGGUUCAUUAGCUUCACCUCCCACAUUCGCACAAAUGAAUUCAUCAACGAUAUGUCACAUGACUGCGGCGUGGUAUAAAUCAGACACGUCGGUUCUGAGUAAUGAUUGGAAUUCUGAUUUUUCUCAGUGAGUCACCGAGAAGAGUCGACUCCCAAAUGAUUCAUUACUGGUUUUUUUUUUUUUUUUCUUUUCUUUGCAAUAUUAUGACCAUUGACUGUUUGUCUCUGCCUAACUAUGGUUGAAAUUGUUCCAUGAAAUCUUAUUCAAAUGACCGAAAUAAUAUUUCUCAGCACUCUAUUAAAAAAAAAAACUGUUUACUAAAAUUGUUUAUUACAAAAAAAUCAACACGGAGUUGACUCGUACAAUAAACAUUAUUGCAUUAAUGUUAUUGUGCUAUUGUGUCUGUGCUUCACUAAGAAAAUUCAUCUCCAUUCAUCCUGAAAAUGAACCGCCUUUGUUUAACACAUUUUUUCACACGACUGAGAGUCAAACACAAGACUCAGGCAAACAAGUAAAGCGGAGUAAAGUGAAGGUGGAGAGAGUGAAGACGGAGUAAAGUGAAGGUGGAGAGCGUGAAGGUGGUGUAAGGUUGAGGUGGAGUAAAGUGAAGGUGGAAAAAUUGAAGAUGGAGGAAGUAAAGUUGGAGAGAGUGACGGUGAAGUAAGGGGAAGAUGGAGGAAGUGAAGUUGGAGAGAGUGAAGAUGGAGGAAGUGAAGAUGGAGGAAGUGAAGUUGGAGAGAGUGAAGGUGGAGGAAGUGAAUAUAGUGAAUGAAUAUAGUGAUGGAGAGAGUGAAGGUGGAGGAAGGUGAAGAUGGAGUAAGUGAAGGUGGAGAAAGUGAAGAUGGAGGAAGUGAAGCUGGAGAGAGUGAGGGUAGAUAAAGUUUCUAAAGGUGCUCAUUUAUUAUAAGACUAAAGUCAUUUAGUCUUUUUGUGACACGCCUUUUCUGUUUUUAUUUACAAAAACAUUUUAAACUUAUUUAAACCUCUGUGCUGUAAAUACAGCCACGUUGUUGGCGGUGAGUCGUACAGCGUGUUAACAGGUAGGGGUUUUUCGUAUAAUUUAAAUGAUUGAACUUUUUCUCGAUUGCUUAAAACACAUGUAUUGAAAUUAUGCCUGCUUUUCUCGAAACUCUAAACACAAAUCCAUAACUUCUCACCCAAUUCCCCAAACUUCCUAUCUUCAGGUCAGAAUGAAGCUCUCCACUCAAACCCAUUCAAUCUUGCUGAAAAACCAAACUUUGCCCUCAGACAUCACACACAAGCCCUGAAAAACACCCACACUACAAUAUAGUCUUACACACUGGUGAGAUCAAUUCAAAACACACUACAAAAACAGGUAAUAAGGCAUGUUCUUUGUGGUUCUCAACCUCAAUAACCUUUUCACAUGAUAAACAGAAGAAAAGACAAAACAAAUGUAUACAUUUGCACAUUUUUUAUUCCUUAAUACUGUACAGUAUUCUUCCCCAGCAUCCCAUCUUCGGUCUGGGACAGGCCAGAGAAUCUCGUCAACAUGACAGGCUAUAUUGGCCAUAGCCAGGCAGUGGGGGUAAAAUCCUCUUGCAUGCCUGAUCCACCCCUGGCACGCAUCAACUGAAAUGUCUAGGCAGGCUUCUUCCAUGGCCUGGAGGACGCAAACACGGAUGUGAGGUUGUCGGCCAAACAUUUUCCAUCGCCAUGCCGAAAAAAACUCCUCUAUCGGGUUUAGGAAGAGAGAGUAUGCAGGUGGAAAGAUGUUGGACAACGUCGGGUUAUUGAUAAACCAGUCACGAACCAGAGCAGCGCGAUGGAAAUUGAUGUUAUCCCAAACAACAGUGUAGUAGGGUUGCUCUGGUUAUACUGGCUCCCUCUAGUCAAGCUGGAACACAUGCUCUCUUAGACCAUCAAGGAAACCAAAGAAGAGCAUAGUGUUAUAGGGUCCAAGAACGGCAUAGCGGUGGAGUACCCCUCGUUGGCUGAUGGCCGUACACCUAUCGAUGUUCCCUCCUCGCUGGCCAGAGACAUUCACAAUAGCCCAAUGGCCAAUUAUGUUCCUCCCCCUUCUCCUUCUUUUCAAGUUAAAUCCAGCCUCAUCAACCUAGCCGGCCUUCAAUCUCUCUGCAAAACACAUGAAACACAGUAGAGUAAAUGGCUACCCUGUAACACAGGGUACAAACGGCAGACCACCAUUUGUACUUUGUGCUACGGUAUAAACUGCUGUACUACUGUACUGUGUUGGUCUUUCACUCUGUCAUAGUUUCGUUCGAAAGGGACGCGGUAGGCCGGUUCAUCCGGAACCUGUGCUCUCGGAGGAUGCGAUCAAUCGUGCAGAGGCCGAUGGCAUUUAUCCCUCGAAAUCCGUGAUUGUCUUCAAUCACUCUCCUUUGAAUCUCUCACAGGUGGAUUACACUGUUGUCAAUGACCAUAUUUACCAGCUCCCUCUCUUGCUCCUUCGACAAACGCCUUAGCCUGCCUCCACCAGGUGGUCGUCUCUGUGUCUUACAAAAAUAGAAGUACUGAUUACUGUAACUGUAACAUCCCUGCCUCCGUCAUGGUCCGAGAUCUGACACUGGAGAUCCGAGAUCCCUUAUCCGAGUCUGCUUGUCUCCUUGCCCUUCCUUGUUGUUAUCCUCCUCCUCCUCCUCCUCUCCCUACUCCUCCACUCCCCCCUUUCCUCCUCUUUCUACUCCUCCUCCACCACCUCCUC